CACAGGAAGGCCGGAGCCCGGAAUCCAACGCGUGACCUCUACACUGUGAGGUGGACAUGCACAUCAUUAGACCACCGUGCCUCAAAAGUAGAACAUCCCUUAGGCAGUACAAUUCAGAAUUGGACCGACAUUCUCGUUGGAAAAAUAUCAAUCACCAACUGGUCACUGUCCAGAUGUCCAGAGUCCAAGGCCUCUGGCCCCUGCAUUCACCCAUCGCCAAGACCGGACCCUCUGCCAGUGGUUGGCCUCCGCUGCCAAAGCGCUCUAUUUAUAAUCUCAGAGUGUCACAUGUAUCAGGACGUGCUGAAGAGGUACUGAGCCUCACCGCUUUUAGUUGCCAUGGUGAUGAAGUUUUUCCUGUCAGCAUGGUUCUUUUGUCCAAAAAGGAGACAAUUGCAUUUUCUUUUGUGACCAAAUUAAUAUGUUUGCAGUUCAAACACUUGCAGAGCUGGGGGGUCAAGAGGAGGUCUGAAAGAAUUGCUCACUCUCUACGCUAUUUUGUUGAGCAGCUAAUUAACUGGUUCAGCCAGACUUCAGUGUGAUGCCUCCGCUACAUCACUCACAUCCACACAUUUUCUUCUGUAAUGAGGAGGAGGAGUGGGGGCUCGUUGUUCAUUAUUAAUCUUAUGAAUGCAAAUAUAAGGCCGCAACAUGGCUCCAAGUGGUCUGCAAUGCGACUGCUCAAGUGCCGAUUGGAACCUGGAGAGAUUGUCACGACUGUAUGUUGAACUAGCUAGGAGACAACAAUCUGUUUGAACAGCAUUGUCACGAGGAGAGAGGAAACUUGUCGUUACUAUGAAAACAGGUAAACGACUUCAAGAAUGCUCUCCAGCUGCUCCGGAAUGCUAAUGUAUGUGUGCUGACUAGAAGUAGAACCCCUUUUAAUAACAAGAAUCACGGCUGAUUCUGAUUUCACGGUGGCAAAAAAUGGGAUGUAAAACAGCUUGAAAAGUAAAGAAAACAAACAUCCCUCUGGUGUUGAUUAUACAGUAUGCACAGAGUAAACAUUCUCAGCUUCCUGACAGACUGCUGGCUGCUGUUUGGUGGAAUCGUGCAACAUAACCGCCUUUGUAAAAAAAAAAAAGAAGAGAGCACCCAUUCCCCUUCAUUAAUUUGAGUACAUGUCUUCUGUUUGUGCCCGGGAGGAAGGAAGAACCUGUGGGGGUGCUAGCUUCGUUAAACGAUCACACCCUCUCAUCGACAUCAA